AACGAACGCUGGCGGCGUGCCUAACACAUGCAAGUCGAGCGAGAAAGCUCCUUCGGGAGUGAGUAAAGCGGCGCACGGGUGAGUAACACGUAGGUAACCUACCCUCGAGCCUGGGAUAACCUACCGAAAGGUGGGCUAAUACCGGAUAUGACCACGGGAGCCACGGCUCCUGCGGUGAAAGAUGGCCUAAGCUUGCAAGCUAUCACUUGAGGAUGGGCCUGCGCACCAUUAGCUAGUUGGCGGGGUAAUGGCCCACCAAGGCUAUGAUGGUUAGCUGGUCUGAGAGGAUGGCCAGCCACACUGGGACUGAAACACGGCCCAGACUCCUACGGGAGGCAGCAGUGGGGGAUAUUGCGCAAUGGGCGAAAGCCUGACGCAGCGACGCCGCGUGGGUGAUGAAGGCC
rnacentral:rRNA from 1 species